rnacentral:tRNA from 1 species
GCCAGAGUGAUGAAAUUGGCAAACAUACUCGACUCAAAAUCGAGCGCCGUAAAAGGCUUGUGGGUUCAAGUCCCACCUCUGGCA